rnacentral:tRNA from 1 species
AAAGAUUUAGUUAAAAUAAUAUUAAUUUGUCAAAUUAAAGUUAGACUAAAAAGAUCUAAUCUUUA